rnacentral:rRNA from 1 species
GACGAACGCUGGCGGCGUGCCUAAUACAUGCAAGUAGAACGCACAGUUUAUACCGUAGCUUGCUACACCAUACACUGUGAGUUGCGAACGGGUGAGUAACGCGUAGGUAACCUGCCUGGUAGCGGGGGAUAACUAUUGGAAACGAUAGCUAAUACCGCAUAAUAUUGAUUAUUGCAUGAUAAUUGAUUGAAAGAUGCUAUUGCAUCACUACCAGAUGGACCUGCGUUGUAUUAGCUAGUAGGUGAGGUAACGGCUCACCUAGGCGACGAUACAUAGCCGACCGGAGAGGGUGAUCGGCCACACUGGGACUGAGACACGGCCCAGACUCCUACGGGAGGCAGCAGUAGGGAAUCUUCGGCAAUAGACGAAAGUCUGACCGAGCAACGCCGCGUGAGUGAAGAAGGUUUUCGGAUCGUAAAGCUCUGUUGUAAGAGAAGAACGGGUGUGAGAGUGGAAAGUUCACACUGUGACGGUAUCUUACCAGAAAGGGACGGCUAACUACGUG